GAUCCACGACCGUGCCUCCCUCACGUGGCUGUUGGCUGGCCUCAGAGGAUCUGUUCAAGACUCACUCAUAGCCGCCUCCACAGGGCUGCCUCAUAGCCUGCAGCUGGCUCCUCCCAAAGCAAGUGGUCCAGGAGAGAAUGAGACUGCACUCAAGAAGGAAGCUAUGGUGUUUUCACAAUCUAAUCUCAGAAGUGGCAUCCCAGAAUUUCUGCCAUACUCUAUUCUUUUGAAGCAAAGUAUUCAGUCCAGCCUGCAGGCAGGGGGACCAUGUGACUACCAGGAGGUGAGGAGCACUAAGAAGUAUAUAUGUUUUUAUGAAGAUCCAUAACUCUGUAAAUGGAUAAGGGUGUGCAACAAUUGGGAAUGCUGAGCAAGGCUUUGCCCCUAUAUCCCUAUGCACUUCUGUUGGAAGAAUGUUCAAGCCUCUUCCCAAGACAGCUCCAGUGUUUGGGGAAAAUAAAGUGCUCUCCCUUGGCCUGGGCCCUUGGAUCCCAAGUGGAAAGAAGUGCCGUUUGCCUCCUACCAUGAUUCUGAGGCCUCCCCAGCCAUGUGGAACUGUAAGUGCAAUUAAACCUCUUUUUCUUUCCAGUCUUGGGUAUGUCUUUAUCAGCAGCGUGAAAAAUGGACUAAUACAGCAAGUAUUUGAAAUAUGUGGAUAGGAAUAAGAAUUUUUGAUUGAGACAAGGUAGGCUUAUUUGAGAUAUCAUAAUUUACAAAUAGCCUAAGAAACAGAAUUUCUUGAAAUUUAUAGUUUACUUAGAAUCAGUGGGAAUCUUAAGAACUAGCAAAUCUACCAUUGCUCAUUCUUUUCCAGCUGCCUACUCCUGUACUAAACAUUUUUUAAAAUUGCUUUGGGAAAAGUAAAUUUCCUUUCCUUUCACUAAUGAUCAUAAUAAAUAAUAUUUGGUGUAAAGCAGAAAAAUCAGUAAGACAGAAAAUGCAAGGAAAAAAUUAUGUAAAAUCUAUAACACUCAGAAUCUGUUAAAUACAGGAUAUUUAAGAAUUGACAAUAAUCCUCAUCCUACUGUUUUUUAUUUCUCAGCAAGUGCAAUGAAUGUUGGCAUUGUUUCUCAGACUUUGGUAUGACAGUAAACUAUAAAAGUAUUUAUUUGACACUAAUUAUAAUUAAGGCAUAGUGAGAUAAUCAAUUGAUGCAGUCUAUAAUUCCCUAUUCUUAAUUUUACAAAAUAAAAAUUCACAGCGAUGGGAGACCUGGUCCAGCCCUGUCCAUUGUGACCCACACCUCCUCAGGACUGAGCAGAAAGAGCUGCUGCAAUGUAAGUUGAUCUAACCUAGUUGGAAAGCAAUUUAUUAAUAAUAGUCAGAGACCUCAAAUAUGGAUGUUCUUUGGGAUUCUAAUCUAAUAAAAUA
rnacentral:lncRNA from 10 species